rnacentral:rRNA from 1 species
UGAGGAAUAUUGCCCAAUGGGGGAAACCCUGAGGCAGCAACGCCGCCUGAACGAAGACGGCCUUCGGGUUGUAAAGUUCUUUUCUGGGGGACGAUAAUGACGGUACCCCAGGAAUAAGUUCCGGCUAACUACGUGCCAGCAGCCGCGGUAAAACGUAGGGGACAAGCGUUAUCCGGAUUUACUGGGCGUAAAGCGCACGUAGGCGGUAGGGUAAGUUGGCCGUGAAAGCUCCCGGCUUAACUGGGAGAGGUCGGACAAAACUGCCGGACUUGAGGCUGAGAGAGGAGAGCGGAAUUCCCGGUGUAGUGGUGGAAUGCGUAGAUAUCGGGAGGAACACCAGUGGCGAAGGCGGCUCUCUGGCUCAGAACUGACGCUGAGGUGCGAAAGCGUGGGGAGCGAAC